AUUGAACGCUGGCGGAAUGCUUUACACAUGCAAGUCGAACGGCAGCACGGACUUCGGUCUGGUGGCGAGUGGCGAACGGGUGAGUAAUGUAUCGGAACGUGCCCAGUCGUGGGGGAUAACGUAGUGAAAAUUACGCUAAUACCGCAUACGAUCUAUGGAUGAAAGCGGGGGAUCGCAAGACCUCGCGCGAUUGGAGCGGCGGAUAUCAGAUUAGGUAGUUGGUGGGGUAAAGGCCCACCAAGCCAACGAUCUGUAGCUGGUCUGAGAGGACGACCAGCCACACUGGAACUGAGACACGGUCCAGACUUCUACGGGAGGCAGCAGUGGGGAAUUUUGGACAAUGGGCGAAAGCCUGAUCCAGCCAUUCCGCGUGCAGGAUGAAAGCCCUCGGGUUGUAAACUGCUUUUGUACAGAACGAAAAGGCUUCUACUAAUACUAGGAGCUCAUGACGGUACUGUAAGAAUAAGCACCGGCUAACUACGUGCCAGCCGCCGCAGUAA
rnacentral:rRNA from 1 species